AUUCCAGCCUCUCUUAAAUUCUCCAUCCCCACUUCGCCAGAUGAAAUAAUAACAUGGGUCACGGGCAUUGUGUUAUUGCACACUGACCCACAUAUAUUCCACGGUACAAUAUGUCCACAUAUCAUAACUGAAGUUUAGUCAGUAACUGAACCCAACCAAUCGGCUAAUAUAAGCUUCCUUUGGGAUGAUGGCUGGAAACCCUGACAUUCCUCCAUAAGCCGUAGUGAUUAUUCUGAACUUGUACAUAAAAAAACAAAAUUCCAAGCAAGCAUCUGCCGAUCACCUUCUCCCCAUGCAGACUCUUUUUCCUGCUCACAGGGACUGGUCUCCUUGGAUCUGACCUGAGGCCAUUUCCAGGCCAGAGACACCAUCCAUCGUUCCCCCCCCCCUCUUCCCACAUAGCAGAUCCAUCCUCACGUGGGAGAGAUGGUGCCUCUCCCAACUAAGCUCUACAAAUUAAACCAGGCGGUGCAGGCUGUUGAAGCAUAUCUCCCAUACCCAAGAUCCACCCACCCAGCCUAUCUGUCUACCCCUCCCGCAUGACUGGUGGGCAGGGCUGCCUCCAGCCAGAAUGCUCCUCGCUCCCCUUGAUCAGGACAGAUUUCAAGCACACAGAGACCAGGAGCUGCAACAUGUCACAGAGUCCCAGCCAGCCAGAAGUCCCUGCAAAAGGACAAGGCACUCCAGAUGCUUCCCCAGAGGAGCCCCCCUGUGCUGAACUGAAAGCCAACUUUGAAAAAUGGUGAGUGGGGCAUGGAAGAUACCAGCAGUGAGUGUUAAAGAAAAGGGAGAAGAGGCAUGCAAGGAGCUGCUGGAGACAUAUCAUUCCUGCCUGCGGGCACUGGGCAUAGCUCACCCGGAUCUAAAAAAUGGUCCCUAGGUGAGUGUCCCUAUACUGUUUGGACUUCAGGGGUAAAAGGAUUGGUGGCAGCAUUCAGUGGGAAUAUGGCAAGUUGCAAUACAGAAUAGCUGGGCUAUAGGGAAUUAACUUAGUCAGAAAGAGGGAGUGUGCAGCAAUUAUAUUAUCUUGGAGGAAAGGAUUUCACUUUCCACUUUAUUUAAAAGACAAAAGGCAUGUAGAAGUAUAGCAGUUAUUGCAAUGAAACUUUAUCCCUUGACUCCAUUUUUAAAUGCAAGCUUCCAUGGUAUCAGGGUGCUUAACAAGGAAAACAAGCCAUAGAUGGAUAGGAAUAUCAGGAAUGUGGGAAGAAUGAGAAUCUCUGUUACUAGGGAGUUUCUGAAGAUAAAUAGUAUUGGCACUAGUGGGAAGGUGUUAACACAGGAGAUUUGCUUGACUCCACACAUAUUUUCUACACAAGAAGAUAAAAAGAGAGGCAAAAACUUCAUCAAGUAGAUUUAUGCAAGACAAUGUAUAUUAAAGACAUAUGGUUCCUGAAAGAGAAAACAUUAGCAAUACUUAAUCCAAGUUCAGAUAUUGACACAGGAGCCCCCCAAAACAGUUGCUGUGUUCAAAUAACGUUAUAUCUAAAUAAACCACAUAUACUAUUUGACGACCCAAUUUGGAACACUGGAAACCAAUGGUUGGGUUCCCACCAUAUAAUGAUUAUACUGAUAUACUGAUUACAAGCCACCAUACUCCAUUUUACCCUAGUUUGUAAUGUGAAUCCAAUUGUUUGCUGGCACUCCACCCCACCCAUUUGCCAGGAAAGCUAUGGCUUAGCCCAAGGGAAGAAACAUUAUAUCCCACAGAAGUGGGAGGAUACACCGACAUUACUCUAUGAUUUUCUAUUACAUUUACAGCCUCCAAAUCACUGGGACUCCCAGACAGCCAUGUUUCCUUUCCCAUAGGGACUCCAGAAUGCUCAACCAACAGUAAGCUCAGCACUGAUUCACCAUUCUCAGCAGGCACUACAGAAGGAGUUCCCAACUUCAAUAAAGCCCCUGUAUUUUAUUCUGACCGGACAUGUUAAAUUACUGAGUUGGAAAUCUUCUGAUUUUGGCAUAAUGUUCUCAGAUUUUUGGAACCCUCACCUUUGCCAUAUUUGCUUUGUGCAGUAGCACUCAAGGAAAAAUAAAUCCGCAGAAGAGCUUUACAUUAAACAGCCUGCUGGAGCCAUCCCAUGAUCGGGCAUCCUUCAGAAUCACCACUUCCACCAUCCCUGGGACAUCCUGGACACUGCGUUUCCAAACAAUUCAGAUCUCAGAUGACAUUCCACCUUGGAUCCUGGGAAUCAGAAGCAUCCCUCCUCCAAAAAUAGUAAUUAAAAAUAAAGACAAGGAAAAAGAAAA